rnacentral:rRNA from 1 species
AUUGAACGCUGGCGGCGGGCUUAACACAUGCAAGUCGAGCGGAGAUGAGGUGCUUGCACCUUAUCUUAGCGGCGGACGGGUGAGUAAUGCUUAGGAAUCUGCCUAUUAGUGGGGGACAACAUUCCGAAAGGAAUGCUAAUACCGCAUACGUCCUACGGGAGAAAGCAGGGGAUCUUCGGACCUUGCGCUAAUAGAUGAGCCUAAGUCGGAUUAGCUAGUUGGUGGGGUAAAGGCCUACCAAGGCGACGAUCUGUAGCGGGUCUGAGAGGAUGAUCCGCCACACUGGGACUGAGACACGGCCCAGACUCCUACGGGAGGCAGCAGUGGGGAAUAUUGGACAAUGGGGGGAACCCUGAUCCAGCCAUGCCGCGUGCGUGAAGAAGGCCUUAUGGUUGUAAAGCACUUUAAGCGAGGAGGAGGCUACUGAGACUAAUACUCUUGGAUAGUGGACGUUACUCGCAGAAUAAGCACCGGCUAACUCUGUGCCAGCCGCCGCGGUAAUAC